rnacentral:rRNA from 1 species
UCGGGGAUACACGAGUGGCGCACGGGUGCGUAACGCGUAUGCAACCUACCUGGAACUGGGGAAUAGCCCGAAGAAAUUCGGAUUAAUACUCCAUAAUUUUCCAAAAACACAUGUUUCUGGAAUUAAAGUUACGGCGGUUCCAGAUGGGCAUGCGUGACAUUAGCUAGUUGGUGAGGUAACGGCUCACCAAUGCCACGAUGUCUAGGGGUCCUGAGAGGGUUUUCCCCCACACUGGUACUGAGACACGGACCAGACUCCUACGGGAGGCAGCAGUAAGGAAUAUUGGGCAAUGGGCGCAAGCCUGACCCAGCCAUGCCGCGUGCAGGAUGACUGCCCUACGGGUUGUAAACUGCUUUUCUAUGAGAAAAAUAUCUCCGACGUGUCGGGGAUUGAUGGUACCAUAGGAAUAAGCAUCGGCUAACUCCGUGCCAGCAGCCGCGGUAAUACGGAGGAUGCAAGCGUUAUCCGGAUUCAUUGGGUUUAAAGGGUGCGCAGGCGGAUUAGUAAGUCAGUGGUGAAAUCUUCCGGCUCAACUGGGAAACUGCCAUUGAUACUGUUAAUCUUGAAUGUAGUUGUAGUAGGCGGAAUACGGCAUGUAGCGGUGAAAUGCAUAGAUAUGCCGUAGAACACCGAUCGCGAAGGCAGCUUACUAAACUAUUAUUGACGCUGAGGCACGAAAGCGUGGGGAGCAAACAGGAUUAGAUACCCUGGUAGUCCACGCUGUAAACUAUGAUCACUCGCUGUUGGCAAUACAUCGUCAGCGGCUGAGCGAAAGCAUUAAGUGAUCCACCUGGGGAAUACGAUCGCAAGAUUGAAACUCAAAGGAAUUGACGGGGGCCCGCACAAGCGGUGGAGCAUGUGGUUUAAUUCGAUGAUACGCGAGGAACCUUACCUGGGCUUAAAUGUAAGACGACAGUCCCCGAAAGGGGAUUUUCCUUCGGGACGUCCUACAAGGUGCUGCAUGGUUGUCGUCAGCUCGUGCCGUGAGGUGUCGGGUUAAGUCCCAUAACGAGCGCAACCCCUAUUCUUAGUUGCCAUCAGGUAAAGCUGGGGACUCUAAGGAAACUGCCUACGCAAGUAGUGAGGAAGGUGGGGAUGACGUCAAAUCAGCACGGCCCUUAUGUCCAGGGCUACACACGUGCUACAAUGGCCGGUACAAAGGGUAGCUACCUGGUGACAGGAUGCUAAUCUCUAAACCCGGUCUCAGUUCGGAUUGAGGUCUGCAACUCGACUUUAUGAAGCUGGAAUCGCUAGUAAUCGUGUAUCAGCAACGAUACGGUGAAUACGUUCCCGG